CUAACACAUGCAAGUCGACGAAGCACCUUUAAGAUUCUUCGGAUGAUUGAUCGGUGACUGAGUGGCGGACGGGUGAGUAACGCGUGGGUAACCUGCCCUGUACAGGGGGAUAACAGUUGGAAACGGCUGCUAAUACCGCAUAAGCGCACGAGAGGACAUCCUCUUGUGUGAAAAACUCCGGUGGUACAGGAUGGGCCCGCGUCUGAUUAGCUGGUUGGCAGGGUAACGGCCUACCAAGGCGACGAUCAGUAGCCGGUCUGAGAGGAUGAACGGCCACAUUGGAACUGAGACACGGUCCAAACUCCUACGGGAGGCAGCAGUGGGGAAUAUUGCACAAUGGGGGAAACCCUGAUGCAGCAACGCCGCGUGAGUGAAGAAGUAUUUCGGUAUGUAAAGCUCUAUCAGCAGGGAAGAUAAUGACGGUACCUGACUAAGAAGCUCCGGCUAAAUACGUGCCAGCAGCCGCGGUAAUACGUAUGGAGCAAGCGUUAUCCGGAUUUACUGGGUGUAAAGGGUGCGUAGGUGGCAGUGCAAGUCAGAUGUGAAAGGCCGGGGCUCAACCCCGGAGCUGCAUUUGAAACUGCAUAGCUGGAGUACAGGAGAGGCAGGCGGAAUUCCUAGUGUAGCGGUGAAAUGCGUAGAUAUUAGGAGGAACACCAGUGGCGAAGGCGGCCUGCUGGA
rnacentral:rRNA from 1 species